CGACGACGACAACACCCCACACCCGGAGGAGAACCCUCCACCUCAGUCACCCUCUCCACCUCCUCCCCCUUCCCCUUCUCCUCCUCCUCCUCCUUCUCCGUCUCAAUUCCGAACUCCCCGGCCUCUCCCCGGCAGACAGCCCGUCUCCUUCCCCGUUCCCCGCGUUCAGCCACGGUCACCAGCGGUGGUGUGGUUCCGCGGCCGAGGCCAGAGGGGGCGGGGGGGGCGCGGGCAGAUCUUUGAGGACCCGGCGGUGGUUAAGAGCGUCAGGGUGCGACCCAGUCUGAAGAGCCUUGACAGUGCCAUAGUGGACUGCUGCCACACCUCGUAUUGGGAACAUGUGAACUCCAAUUCAUGGGUGGCACCAUCCGAAGGGUUAAGAGGACCAACCAAGCCCAUUCUGCAGGAUGAGGCCAUCCUCCGAGUGAUUGACAGGCCUGUAUGUGCCCCCCGCCUGCCCACCUACACUCACUUCCUGUCUAAAUCCGCCCCUA